CCAAGCACCACUCAGCUAUUUCUGCCAUCUGCAACAUCAUAUUCAUGUCAGACAUUAUAAUAUUAGUGAUAUUCAUUUUGACAUCUUCCAUCCGAUAGCUUGCUUCAAGAUUCUUAUCUAUGGCAUCUUCUAAGGCAAUCUCAGCUCUGAAAGCACCACUCCAAACGCAAACACAUCGGUUUUUGGGGUCACUUGAAGCUCCUUCAGAGACCUUAGAAGGUAAAAAACAAUACCAGAAUGAAUAAAUGAAAAGAUUGUGCUCAAAAGAGGUUUCUGGCAUUUGUGUUAUAAUGGACUGAAAUUCUAGUUAUGAUGAUUGAAAUGCAUAAAACCUUACUCUGGUGGAAGGUAGCCUGGUGUUCCUACAAGUCUGGUUGCUAUAAAAUUUUCAUCAUCGGUUCUGUCUACAAGCUUUGCAAGUCCAAAAUCUCCCACCUUUGAAUCCAUUGUCAAGAACAAUGAUGAGAACUAAAUUUAGCACAUAAACUUUAUUGGAGCAAUGCAAUUUGACAAGUACCUUUGCUCUGAACUUGUCAUUAAGUAGAAUA